GCCAAUAUGGUGUAGUGGUUUGAGUGUUGAACUACAACUCUGGAGACCAGGGUUCAAUUCCCAGUUUGGCU
rnacentral:tRNA from 1 species